rnacentral:rRNA from 1 species
GCAGUGGGGAAUCUUGGACAAUGGGCGCAAGCCUGAUCCAGCCAUGCCGCGUGAGCGAUGAAGGCCUUAGGGUCGUAAAGCUCUUUCGCCAGAGAUGAUAAUGACAGUAUCUGGUAAAGAAACCCCGGCUAACUCCGUGCCAGCAGCCGCGGUAAUACGGAGGGGGUUAGCGUUGUUCGGAAUUACUGGGCGUAAAGCGCGCGUAGGCGGAUUAGUAAGUUAGAGGUGAAAUCCCGGGGCUCAACCCCGGAACUGCCUUUAAUACUGCUAGUCUUGAGUUCGAGAGAGGUGAGUGGAAUUCCGAGUGUAGAGGUGAAAUUCGUAGAUAUUCGGAGGAACACCAGUGGCGAAGGCGGCUCACUGGCUCGAUACUGACGCUGAGGUGCGAAAGUGUGGGGAGCAAACAGGAUUAGAUACCCUGGUAGUCCACACCGUAAACGAUGAAUGCCAGUCGUCGGGUAGCAUGCUAUUCGGUGACACACCUAACGGAUUAAGCAUUC